rnacentral:ncRNA from 1 species
GGGUCCGAUAGUGAGUGCUGUCGGAGGAAAAUUCCGGAUGGUCGGGCCGCCAUCCG